rnacentral:lncRNA from 1 species
AUAGUUUUAGGUAGAAUGAACUCUAAGAUUUGAGAUGCAGUAAGCUGCCUUCAUCACAGGCACUUUUGACAUUGUUUUUUUCUCUUUAAAGAUUUACUUAUUGUUGCAUGUGUUUACUUGCACGAGUUUGUGUGCACCGUGUAACUUGCAAAAACUCUUGGAAACCAGGCUCCAAGGAACUGGAGUUGCAGGUGGUUAUGAGCAGCUGUGUGUGCGCUGGGAACCAAACAUGGCUCCUCUGGGAGAACAGUAGGAGCUCUUAACCUUCAGCCCAUUUCUCCUGCCCCUGAAUAUUGUUCUUGUAAAUUAUGCUAAAUAACUUUAUGUCUGAUGCCAUCAAACUGUAAUUUUUAUAGGACUUAUUCGGUCUCCUUCAGGUCUUUGUUUCCUGGACUUAAGCUUACUUUGACAUUCUGAGAUCAUUUUAAGUUAUUUUUAGUGCCAGAUUGUCCAUUGCUCAGGCAUGGUUUCCCCACUUAAUGUUUCUGGUUAGACUGAGGGUGUUAUUUGUAUCUUGUGUCCGUUCUUCCUUCCAUACUGAUGGUGUGUAAAGACCCUGGAGCACUAGGGACGCCCAUGAAAUCUUUCCUGCUCUGGCAGCAUGGAGCACAUUCAUGGGCUCUGACCAUUCUGAGAAAACAGUUUAGAAUUAGUUCUUCUAUGGGGAUGAUGCCUUUUCUUAAAGAACACCUGUGUUGAAUCAUCUUGGACCACUCUCUUCCAACAUCCCAAAAUGCUAAUAGAUCUAGCAACAGAUGUUUAUACUAUAAUGUGUUAAAAAAAAAAAACUAGCUUUUUAAAAAGUUAAAGUUUCUUUAGGUCUUUUCUUCUUGCCUGCCUUUCUUCCCUUCCUCCCUCCCUUCCUGCCUUUCUUCCUUCUUUUCUUCGACUACCCCUCACUCUCUCCCUUCCUUCCUUCCUUCCUUCCUUCCUUCUCUACUUCCUCCUUCCUUCCUUCCUUCCUUCCUUCCUUCCUUCCUUCCUUUCUUUUUUUCAAGAAAGGGUUUUUCUGUAUAGCCCUGGCUUUCCUGGAACUCACUGUAGACCAGGCUGUCUCUACAGUGCUGGGAUUAAAGAUACAUGCCACCAUUACCCUGCUAGCUGAAGUAUAUUUCUAUAAAUUGGUAAGGUAGCUCUGUGUAUAUUGCAUAGGAAGUUACUGAGCUUGGUAUCUCACACUAGUAACCCAGCAUUCAGGAGGCACAUGAAAGAGGAUUGCUGCAAGUCCAGGCCAGCCCAACCUGCAUGCUGAAUUUAAACUGGCCUGGGCUACAGAGAUGCUGUC